UACAGAGGCCCCGAGCGCUAAUCGGAAUUACUGGGCUUAAAGGGUGCGUAGGCGGAUCCGCAAGCGUCUUGUGAAAGCCCUCGGCUCAACCGAGGAACAGCGGGGCGAACUGCGGGUCUUGAGGCAGGUAUGGGUCGCCGGAACAGUAGGUGGAGCGGUGAAAUGCGUAGAUAUCUACUGGAACGCCGAUGGUGAAGACGGGCGACUGGGCCUGUCCUGACGCUGAGGCACGAAAGCGUGGGGAGCAAACAGG
rnacentral:rRNA from 2 species